rnacentral:rRNA from 1 species
UACAGAGGUGGCAAGCGUUGUUCGGAAUUACUGGGCGUAAAGGGCGCGUAGGUGGCCAUCUAAGUCAGACGUGAAAUCCCCCGGCUUAACCUGGGAACUGCGUCUGAUACUGGACGGCUUGAGUAUGGGAGAGGAACGUAGAAUUCCAGGUGUAGCGGUGAAAUGCGUAGAUAUCUGGAGGAACACCGGUGGCGAAGGCGGGUCUCUGGGCCGAUACUGACGCUGAGGAGCGAAAGCGUGGGGAGCGAACAGG